rnacentral:rRNA from 1 species
UUUUAGUAUAUGAAAUUUUACUUUGAGAAAAUUAGAGUGCUUAAAGCAGGCAUAUGCCUUGAAUACUCCAGCAUGGAAUAAUAUUAAAGAUUUUUAUCUUUCUUAUUGGUUCUAAGAUAAGAAUAAUGAUUAAUAGGGACAGUUGGGGGCAUUUGUAUUUAACAGUCAGAGGUGAAAUUCUUAGAUUUGUUAAAGACAAACUAAUGCGAAAGCAUUUGCCAAGGAUGUUUUCAUUAAUCAAGAACGAAAGUUAGGGGAUCGAAGACGAUCAGAUACCGUCGUAGUCUUA